rnacentral:lncRNA from 1 species
AUGUCUUUUGCUCUCAGCGGUCAAAGACUGGGAGGCACUCACUCACCUGGCCGCAGGGCAGUGGACACAGGGGCUCAGCACCUGCUGUGCAAAACGGCCUCGGGCAGGUGUCGUCUUAGAGAAGAAAACGGCACAAACUUGGCUGCAAGCAGCUUCUCCAACGGGAAAAAACCGCAGCUCGGGUCUGGGAAGUGCCCAGGAGGGGCCCUGAACUCCAGGCUGGACACAACACCCACCCCCGGCCCUGUCAGUUCCCUGUCUUCUCCAGGUGCAGGACCCCAUCUUUGGGGCCUCGCAUCCCUUCUCUCCAUCCCGAAAACCAUCUCUGCGGCAGAGAGCAAGCUGUCGCCCCAGCGGCUGGGGCCGGGGACAUGUGAAAUGGUCACGCUCCAGUCUGAGGAGGGUGCGAGGCCGGGACCGCUCAGCAGAGGCGUUCAGUUCGGACAGAAGAAACCUGCAGUCCUGCGGCGUCCCCACGUGGUCCCUGCCCCUGGGCAAGCGGAGGGGAGGGGGCAAAGGGCCUUGCACCCCUGCCCCACACUCUCCUCCACGCUCCCAAGGGCUAGCAGCCAGGCGGGCGGUGGGGCCCCUGGACGGGCGCUCAUGGCCAGAGCCAUGGCAGCGGGGCCUUCCCGCCAUUGCUGGCCUCUUCUUUCUCCUCCUCUUGGUUUCUUCCUGCUCAUUUCAUUUCUCUGUCGCGGUUUCCUGCAGCGCACAUGUGAGGUCAGCUAGUGCACCUGUGCAGCUCUCCGGGUGUCCAGUCCGGGGCGGGGGGAGGGGGAGAGGCAUGGCAGGAGACUCUGAACACCUGCAAGCCAGCAGCAGGCCCUGGGUUCGAGGCUGAGGUUGUGAAAACACAACCCAGGCCACCCAGGAGCUCACAGGGUCAUGGGAGAGACAGAUGCGCCAAUGCAGGAGGCCAUGGACAUGAGCUCGGCGGAGCCGGAACCCCGUGGACACCUAAAGAGAGCCGGGUCGGGGAGGCCCACACCUGGGCCUCAACCGCUGGGGGCUGGGAGACGUAGGCUGGCAUCGGAGCGCAAUUCAAGCCUCAAGAUGGAAAGAGAAGGUGGGACAAGCACAAAGUACCAGAAGCCAAGGGGACUCUGGCCCUGCGGGUGGGGGCGGGGGUGGGAGCCACCUGCAGGAGGCGGCAGGCACAAAGCACCACCUGGCCCCCUCCCCGCACCGCGCUAGAGAGUUUGGAUUUUAAUCUGUGGGCAGUGGGAAGCCGGGUGGGCGCGAAGAGCCCAGGAGUAACAAGUGCUGGGCAGUGCCAGGAAGCCCUUGCUGUCAGGGGGGCCUGAAAGGACUGGAAGGAUUGAGCCCGGG